rnacentral:rRNA from 1 species
AGAGUUUGAUCCUGGCUCAGAACGAACGCUGGCGGCGUGGAUAAGACAUGCAAGUCGAGCGAGAUUUUUUUCUGUAGCAAUACAGGGAAAAGUCUAGCGGCGAGCGGGUGCGUAACACGUGGGCAACCUGCCAAGAAGUGGGGGAUAGCUCGCCGAAAGGCGAAUUAAUACCGCAUGUGAUUAGAGUGGACAUCCAUUCAAAAUCAAAGUCGGGGCAACCUGACGCUUCUUGAGGGGCCCGCGGCCUAUCAGCUAGUUGGUGAGGUAACGGCCCACCAAGGCUUAGACGGGUAGCUGGUCUGAGAGGACGACCAGCCACACUGGGACUGAGACACGGCCCAGACACCUACGGGUGGCAGCAGUCGAGAAUUUUUCUCAAUGGGGGAAACCCUGAAGGAGCGACGCCGCGUGGAGGAUGAAGGUCUUCGGGUUGUAAACUAGCUGUCAUUUGGGAACAAUGCGCAAAUAUUAACUGUAUUGCGUUGAUAGACCAGAAGAGAAAGACCGA